GAUGAACGCUGGCGGCGUGCCUAAUACAUGCAAGUCGAGCGAACAGGCGAGGAGCUUGCUCCUUUGACGUUAGCGGCGGACGGGUGAGUAACACGUGGGUAACCUACCUAUAAGACUGGGAUAACUUCGGGAAACCGGAGCUAAUACCGGAUAAUAUUUCGAACCGCAUGGUUCGAUAGUGAAAGAUGGCUCUGCUAUCACUUAUAGAUGGACCUGCGCCGUAUUAGCUAGUUGGUAAGGUAACGGCUUACCAAGGCAACGAUACGUAGCCGACCUGAGAGGGUGAGCGGCCACACUGGAACUGAGACACGGUCCAGACUCCUACGGGAGGCAGCAGUAGGGAAUCUUCCGCAAUGGGCGAAAGCCUGACGGAGCAACGCCGCGUGAGUGAUGAAGGUCUUCGGAUCGUAAAACUCUGUUAUUAGGGAAGAACAAACGUGUAAGUAACUGUGCACGUCUUGACGGUACCUAAUCAGAAAGCCACGGCUAACUACGUG
rnacentral:rRNA from 1 species